AAACUUAAAGGAAUUGACGGGGANCNGCACAAGCGGUGGAUGAUGUGGUUUAAUUCGGUGCAACGNNNAAAACCUUACCCACCUUUGACAUGUAUGGAAUCCUGAAGAGAUUUGGGAGUGCUCGAAAGAGAGCCACNNNNNNGGUGCUGCAUGGCUGUCGUCAGCUCGUGUCGUGAGAUGUUGGGUUAAGUCCCGCAACGAGCGCAACCCUUGUCAUUAGUUGCUACGAAAGGGCACUCUAAUGAGACUGCCGGUGACAAACCGGAGGAAGGUGGGGAUGACGUCAAGUCCUCAUGGCCCUUAUAGGUGGGGCUACACACGUCAUACAAUGGCUGGUACAGAGGGUUGCCAACCCGCGAGGGGGAGCUAAUCCCACAAAGCCAGUCGUAGUCCGGAUCGUAGUCUGCAACUCGACUACGUGAAGUCGGAAUCGCUAGUAAUCGCGGAUCAGAAUGUCGCGGUGAAUACGUUCCCGGGUCUUGUACACACCGCCCGUCACACCAUGGGAGCGGGUUCUGCCAGAAGUAGUUAGCCUAACCGCAAGGAGGGCGAUUACCACGGCAGGGUUCGUGACUGGGGUGAAGUCGUAACAA
rnacentral:rRNA from 1 species